rnacentral:pre_miRNA from 1 species
UGUUGAAUUGGACACUGUACACAAUUCCUAGGCAACGUUUAGCAUGGCCACAAGCAAUUUCCUGGGCUUUGGCUAGAAACUAUACACAGUACUUAGCUUG